GCCAAAGGUAUACACAGUCGACCUCCUGUAAACGUUUCAUCUCCGCGGAUAUCUUCACGUGCGUUUCCGUGUGUCGUGGAUCAAGUGGAAAGUAUCAAAAAGGUGUGCAAGGUGUGGCUGACAGGGAUCGCUUUAUUCGUUGUGUUGUUGAAGAAACAGCGCGAAAGCAGACGUAAGAAGAACGUGCCACUCUUACGAGCAGCAGGUUCUCCAUCCGCCAUCUUAGUUUAGCUCGUCGAUUUUCUGGGACGAAGAUACUAAGCUUCUAAGCUUAAGGAGACGAUUUGGAGAGACGGAUAUAUCUCGUAUCAGACACACCUCGAAGCUUCACGGAGAAACUCUGUUAACGACCAAGAAGUUGUUCCACGUACUUCGUUGCACUAGCUGGCACGUGGUCGUCCAUUAACGUCACCCGGAAACGCAUCAAGCAGCUACCUUGUUUCUUUCCACCGUUUAUUCAGGCUACGCUGUCGACGCUCGCGAAGCAGCGAAAGAUUCGUCUUCGCGAUUUCAUUGAAAGUUUCGCGACGAAAACACGGUCGUUGGGAGAUAACGACUCGAAAGUAAUUAAUCCACGUGGCAAACAAGCAGCUUUUACGACACGGUUCUUCGUCGAAACUCGACGAGAACAUCUUCGUCCUCGUUUCUCAACGAUAUCAGUAGAAAGUUUCAAUCUUGUAUCGCAAGAAAAUUAAAGAAAAACGAAUAAAAUAUUUGAAAAUUGUCUAAGAAAGAAUAGUGGGGCAAAGAAUAAGUCAGGUAUUAAUGAAAAUUCAAAUUCAAUACGUCAUCAAAUACGGGACGAUUGUACGAGGUAAACCGAGUCACAUUUUGCUCAUCAACACUGAGUGGUUCCAAUUGACGGGUCGGGUCGACCCUCCAGCGUAGACACUAUUGGUCAGCCUUUUAAUACCAACGGUCGCGAUUGGAUCGGAUAGCCGGUUCGUUCUUAGACAGAAGACAUAGCCGGAGCAUUCGGUUCAAAACUUUUAACGUCGUCAGUGUCGCGCAAUUUACUGUCCCACACGUCGUCGUCGUCGUCGUAAGGGUAAAGAGACGAACUAAACAGACAUUCGCUCGUUCAGUUUAUCUCAGUCGGUUUUAAGUCGGUCAACGGUAACAGCGAGCCUCGUAAAACGGAAUCAAAAACGACGGAGAAAGAAGCGACUCUAUCAGGAAGUCGACGCUACGAAUACACCAAAGACUCCCACGCGACCAAUUUCCGAAGAGGAUUCGCAUCGUUGAAGGUUCAUUGACAAAGCCUUGUCGUAAAUAACAGCGUUCCAGCCGAGAGCGACGCUUUAAGCGAUAAAAGCAGAAGUCUAGAUCACCAGGUGAAUGGCUCAAAUCUAUUGGCUGUUGCUCUUCGAAAGAUCUUGAUCUUGAUCGUGAUCGUUAUCAGGAAGCAAAGAAACCUUGCUUGCCUUUGGAACGUUUCAAGGAGCAAACGGAUCGACGUCCGCGUCAGAAGGUCUCAGUUCCCGAGUUCGGCCGAAAAUAACAUCGUUCUUUGGUGAUUUUCACGAAGGAUUCGUCUUUCGGAAGAUCGACAGGAGUUUGGGAAACUGUCGAAGAGCGAAACGCGUCUCUCACUUGGUCAAACGGCAACGAAGCCUCGUUCUUUUCUUCACGAUCAACUUUGUCUUUCUGUCGGCACCAUGGAACGAAGGAUUCUGAAAAUGUGGUGACGACGUGUCAGGCGAAGGCCUUCGAUUACCAAGACACUAUCGAGUGUGUGAGCCAUAGUCGUUAGACAGCAAUCGAGAUAAAUAUUUUACGUGUCCAGUGACACUCGUUCAGAGCAACAACAUCGUUCAGGCUGUUUCUUAACUGAAACAGCUUAAUCGUGAAUAGAAUUCAUCGGAUUCGAUCUAGAUCUAGCACGAUCCUGUUUAAAGUUUCGUACGAUCGAGUUUGAUAACAGCGAUCGACUGUGAUUUUUUAAAGGACUCGAUAAGGAUAACAGACGUACGAUCGCAGAACAACCAAGUACCGUAGUCAUUUCCCGUAGCUGAGAAAUUUCGCUGAGGAGUAAUAGUAACAAAAUGCG